GCUGGCAUACGCUGAUGAUUUUGCCCACAAUGGCCGAGAUGAUAUGAUGGGAUGCCCUCAGAGGCUUGAUGAUGUCAUGAACACAUGUACAUAUGCUCGAUAUGACAUUCAUACGCAUAUGCAUGACACUACAAGUAUUCCAUGAUUUACAGAGUGAUCCAGACUUACAGGUAUAAAUAAUCAGUUUGACGAUCACUCAUAGCAGAUGAGAUUGGCAUUUAGCGAGGAUCGGUAAGACUCCACCUCAUUCGAUGUGCAGCCGAGUCUAUGAGUCAUCGCGUCAGAGUUUUGCUACAGACUUAUGGGUAGGCAGGUACCCUAUCUCAUUAGAUGUCAAAUAGUCUUAGAGGCUUUGUAGAUAGAGGUUCAUUUUGUACAGUAUGUCAGAGGCCUUGACGGCCCAUAUGUAUUCAUGUUUUAAGAAAAAUGGUUUAGUGAUACAGUGUUUUUCA